rnacentral:rRNA from 1 species
UACGAAGGGGACUAGCGUUGUUCGGAAUCACUGGGCGUAAAAGCGCACGUAGGCGGAUUUGUAAGUCAGGGGGUGAAAUCCCGGGGGCUCAACCUCGGAACUGCCUUUUGAUACUGCGAAUCUUGAGUCCGAUAGAGGUGGGUGGAAUUCCUAGUGUAGAGGUGAAAUUCGUAGAUAUUAGGAAGAACACCGGUGGCGAAGGCGGCCCACUGGAUCGGUACUGACGCUGAGGUGCGAAAGCGUGGGGAGCAAACAGG